UACCCGCAGCCCGAGUGGUGCUCAUUAUUAUUGAGCCUAAAACGUCCGUAGCCGGUUUGAUAAAUUCUUGGGUAAAUCAUAUCGCUCAACGAUAUGAAUUCUGAGAAGACUGUCAAACUUGGGAAUGGGAGGGGCCAGAGGUACUUUCAGGGUAGGGGUAAAAUCCUGUGAUCCUGAGAGGACCACCGGUGGCGAAGGCGUCUGGCUAGAACAUAUCUGACGGUAAGGGACUAAGCCCUGGGGCGCAAACGGG
rnacentral:rRNA from 1 species